AGGAUUAACGCUGGCGGCGUGCCUGACACAUGCAAGUCGAACGAGGCCGCAAGGCCGAGUGGCGGACGGGUGAGUAACACGUGACCAACCAACCUCGAAGUUGGGAAUAGCUCUGCGAAAGUAGGGGUAAUACCGAAUGUGGCCCAGGGCGGGCAUCCGCCUUGGUCUAAAGAUUCAUCGCUUCGAGACGGGGUCGCGGCCUAUUAGCUUGUUGGUGAGGUAACGGCUCACCAAGGCGAUGAUGGGUAGCUGGUCUGAGAGGACGACCAGCCACACUGGGACUGAGACACGGCCCAGACUCCUACGGGAGGCAGCAGUGAGGAAUCUUCCGCAAAUGGGCGAAAAGCCUGACGGAGCAAACGCCGCGUGUGGGAUGAAGACUCUAGGGUUGUAAAACCACUGUCGGAGGGGACGAUCGGUGACGGUACCCUCCAAGAAAGCCCCGGACUAACCUACGCGCCAGCAGCCGC
rnacentral:rRNA from 1 species